rnacentral:tRNA from 1 species
GGGCCGGUAGCUCAGCCUGGGAGAGCGCCCGCUUCGCACGCGGGAGGACCCGGGUUCAAGUCCCGGCCGGUCCACCA